CUGAGAAGCUUUCAAAACAUGUCAGAGCUGUAUCUCAACAUCAGAUCAAUUGAAUCAGAAUCUGAGAUGGGAGCAGAUGGGAAUUAUUACAACACAAAGAGCUGAAGGAAGAAGAAAGCCUGAGGUUUUGCUGUCCCUGCAACACUGGACACCUGUCCCCAGAGCAGCGGGACAGCACAGGUGCCGUGGAGGGUCCACCAAAGUCUUGGGAGCCAAAGGACUCAAGCAGAUGGUGGCACUAAGGCUGUGGAGUAAAAGGUGUUGGGAAUUUUUUCCCAGCAAUGAGAAAGUAACUAAGACACAUCUCUACUUUGCAUCUGCUCAAAACUUGGGAGUAUACGGAUUGUUCAAGGAAAGACAUGUUUUUCAAUGCAAACACUCUCAAAUCUUUCAAAUGUUUAUUUUCAGUAGGGUUUAUCUUUGUUGUUCACCCUGACCAGUCAGAUGCCAAAUCACUGUCUUCAAGGCAACUAAUCCAGGUUCUGAUAAAUAAUCAACAUACAAAAAUCUAUAUGUAUAUUCUCUGCC
rnacentral:lncRNA from 1 species